AUUGAACGCUGGCGGCAGGCCUAACACAUGCAAGUCGAACGAGUGGCGGACGGGUGAGUAAUGUCUGGGAAACUGCCUGAUGGAGGGGGAUAACUACUGGAAACGGUAGCUACUACCGCAUACCACCGGCUGUGCCCAGAUGGGAUUAGCUAGUAGGUGGGGUAAAGGCUCACCUAGGCGACGAUCCCUAGCUGGUCUGAGAGGAUGACCAGCCACACUGGAACGUGGACACGGUCCAGCCUCCUACGAGAGGCAGAAGUGGGGAAUAUUGCACAAUGGGCGCAAGCCUGAGGCGGCCAUGACGCGUGUAUGAAGAAGGCCGUCGGGUUGUAAAGAACUUUCAGCGGGGAGGCGUUACCCGCAGGAGAAGCACCGGCUAACGCCGUGCCAGCAGCCGCGGUAAUAC
rnacentral:rRNA from 1 species